rnacentral:other from 1 species
UAGCCUGAACGGCUUGAUUCUCUCUAGAAUCAAUUGGCUUAGCGAUGCAAUGUUGUGUUUGCAAACUCGGAUUUCGAGUUAGGUAGAUUUCUACCAAUAUUUUGUCUGGGUUACCCCAAAAGAUGAAAUCAACUUCCUGUAUUUUUGACCUGUCUGUCAAAUUAUCUUUCACCGCCUUUAUGGCGGUGUUUUUUUA